GCCGGGGUGGCGAAAUUGGCAAACGCGCACGACUCAAAAUCGUGUGGACUACGUCCUUGUGGGUUCGAGUCCCACCCCCGGCA
rnacentral:tRNA from 3 species